GACGUAGGGCGCGAGCGUUGUCCGGAUUUAUUGGGCGUAAAGAGCUCGUAGGCGGCUUGUCGCGUCGUCCGUGAAAACCUGGGGCUCAACCCCGGACUUGCGGUGGGUACGGGCAGACUAGAGUGUGGUAGGGGAGACUGGAAUUCCUGGUGUAGCGGUGAAAUGCGCAGAUAUCAGGAGGAACACCGAUGGCGAAGGCAGGUCUCUGGGCCACUACUGACGCUGAGAAGCGAAAGCGUGGGGAGCGAACAGG
rnacentral:rRNA from 1 species